CCUACGGGAGGCUGCAGUGGGGAAUAUUGGACAAUGGGGGCAACCCUGAUCCAGCCAUGCCGCGUGUGUGAAGAAGGCCCUCGGGUUGUAAAGCACUUUCAGUGAGGAAGAACGCCUGGUGGUUAAUACCCAUCAGGAAAGACAUCACUCACAGAAGAAGCACCGGCUAACUCCGUGCCAGCAGCCGCGGUAAUACGGAGGGUGCGAGCGUUAAUCGGAAUUACUGGGCGUAAAGCGCGCGUAGGUGGCUUGAUAAGCCGGUUGUGAAAACCCCGGGCUCAACCUGGGAACGGCAUCCGGAACUGUCAAGCUAGAGUGCAGGAGAGGAAGGUAGAAUUCCCGGUGUAGCGGUGAAAUGCGUAGAGAUCGGGAGGAAUACCAGUGGCGAAGGCGGCCUUCUGGACUGACACUGACACUGAGGUGCGAAAGCGUGGGUAGCAAACAGGAUUAGAUACCCGGGUAGUC
rnacentral:rRNA from 1 species